AACCGUGAAAUUUACAAAUACGCAAAAAUAUAGUUAUUUAAUUAUUUAUUGUGUAAAAAGACUAUUUUUAUAAUUUUAGUUUUAAUAAAAAUAUAUGAUACAAAAAGUAUCAAUUAAAAUGUUACAGUUGCGAGGAUUCUAGAAAAUAUGUAAUAUCAAUUAGUGUGGGCCAAUAUUUUAAUUUAUGUGUUAGAUCGAGAGCUGCGUAUAAACGAAAAAUCUAGUAGACAUGGUUAUCUAAUUCCGGCCCGUGAAUAAAUAAAUAUAACGUCUUAGCCAAGUUGAUUAUUCUAUUUAUAUUAUAAACUCGAGAAUUGGUAAUAAAAUAUUAAAAUAUUCAACAGUAUAUUUAUGUUAUUAUCUUUUUCGAUAAUUAUUUAUUUAAUUAAUAUUAUUUCCGAUAUUAUCCGAGAAUAACAGAGCCGAGCGGGAUUUUUUUACGAGUCGGGACUUGGGGCCCAAGUCAUAGUACUUGGAGCCCACGCUACACAACUUGGUGGCCAAGUCUUAUGCGUGGUGGCCAAGUAUAAUUAACUAAACAAAUAGUAAAUUAGGAGACUAUUAGCUUUAAUCAUAAUUAGGGAAGUAGGUAUAAAAGCCAAAAGAUUAAUUACAUUUGCAUAAAAAGAAAUCUACGUGGCAAGUUGUGAUUGGUUAUACUCAUACUAAUAAAUAAUGGGACCCCCUGUAUGCACAUAAACCACCCAACCAAAUUCCGCCAUAUGUUUGCCACGUCAUUUGGGAAAAUAAUUUGGGGACAAAUUUUGGGGUCCCUAGCAUUGCUCAAAAAGAAAAGUGAGCUCGCGGGGAGUAAAUCAGGAGGAAAAAGAUUUGUACAGCUUGGAAGAUAGGAAAUUCAGAACAAAUAAGUAAAUAGUGAGUAUGGCACAACUCAAGAGAACCGCCCGGAAAUGGGUUUUUGGCAAAGGCAGGGAAAAGGCACAUCACCCGAGCUGAGACUGCUAGACUACGCCUCUUGGUACUACGAGCUAUAGUUAUUAUAAUGGUUUGAAAUCAGACUUCCUUUUAUGUAAUAAAGUUAGACUCGGUAGUAAUGUUGUAAGACGAUUGACCCUGGACUUGUGGGGCAGGAGUUGGAUUAUGUAAUUCAAGUGUUGUUUUGAGCCAGAUGUUUAGUGGCGGACCAGACCUACGGAAUGUGGAUCUGGGGGCGUCACACAUAACGCAAAAUAGUGAGAGAGACGGGGGAGUAUAUAACUUAUGUAUGAUAUUUAUACAAAACGGGUUUCGAAGACAAGAAAGAAUACAAUGGAGAGAGUAUUACAUCUGAAA